CUCGCCAGGCUUAACUCAAUAACCACAACACCGGAAAAGGAAGCAAAGGUCGAAGUUCAUCCGCGGCCCUGAGGCCUGUGGGAAACGUAGUCCAACAACGAAAGAGCCCUGAAGCUCAAGCGGAGCCCGCUGGCCGCAGGGGCCGCACCACGCCCCAGACCCUGGAGUUUCCGGGUGCGCAGACCCUUGCCAUCAGCAGAGGCUGCCGCUGCGCGUCCCCUAGGCGCGGAAGAGGCGGCUGGUGGUCCCUGACGGCAAGGUGAAGUCGAGGCAGUAAUCGGGAACCCAGGUUUUAUACAUUACGAAUAAAGCUGGCACGUUUCCAUUUCUCCUGGGCAAAUAUUUAGAAGAAAAGUUGCUGGGUAAUUGGUGGAGACAAGGUUUCGCCACAUUGACUGGGCUGGUCUGGAACUCCUGAGCUCAAGCAACCGGCCCUCCUUGACCUCCCAAAGUGCUAGGAUUACAGGUGUGAACCACCGUGCCCGGCCCUACUUUCUAUCGAAGUAGAAUAGGUAGAUCACAUUAUUAUUAACAGUAUAUGGGAAGAGGGAGGUCCUCCCAUGUUACAUUGUUCUCCCUUCACCUUCUGGGUCAUGUUGCACCACUGUUUCCCUUCUAGUCAUAUCCCAGGGGGCCUUGUCCCAUUUAUACAGCUCUAUUCUAGUGGUCACCAGAGGAAUGGGAGUAAUCUGAUUGAAAGAUAAGACAGAAGAUUGUACUCUCUUUUUUUUUUUUUUGAGACAGAGUCACCCAGGCUGGAAUGCAGUGGCAUUGUCAUGGCUCACCGCAGUCUCAAACUCCUGGGCCCAAGUGAUCCUCCCACUCAGCCUCCUGAGUAGCUGGGACUAGAGGCACAUGCAACCACAUGCAGCUAUUUUUUUUUAAAUUUUCUGUAGAGACAGGGUCUCACUGUGUUGCUCAGUUUGUCUCAAACUCCUGGGCUCAAGUGAUCCUCCUGCCUUGGCCUCACAAAGUACUAGGAUUACAGGCAUGAGUCACCACACUCAGCUGAACUCUACUCUUUAUGUUCAGGAAAGCACUGGAGAAGAGAGAGGACAAGAGAAACAGGUCCGUAGUGACAGGAGCCUAGGAAUAGAGCAGGCCUUCAGUCUUGGUGAAAAAAUAAAUGGUAUUCUAAGCCUUCCUUUGGACAUUAAUUCAGUACUACCCACUCUUUUUCUCUUGUCCAUUCCUCCCUUAUAUUUUUUUUAUAAAAUGAAGAACUCAAUCCCUUAUUUUUUUUUUCUAUCCUUCAAGUGAAGGGCAAGAACAAAGAGUGUGGGGGAGAUU
rnacentral:lncRNA from 10 species